AAUGCAAGUGUUUAACAGAUGCUUCACUAUUAAAAUAUUUUCCCCCCAAGUCUCAAAUAUUGAAGAAUCUCUAACCAGGGACACCAGUCCCUACGAAGACCUUGGGCGAUUUUGAAGUGCGGGCACCUCGAUUCCCCGAAUCUGUAGUGUGGCUGGUAUCGGUGUUCCCCUGGUUUAACUAGCCUGUUUGAUGGGGAAAUUGAGGCAGAGAAGCCAAGACAUGUGCUAAAGGUCAUGCAGGCUAUGAAUGGAGCUGGAAUGUGAACGCAGGCCAUAUGACCCCAGAGCCCAUGUUCUUGAACCCUUAGAAAGACAGCAGCAACACACCUGGUGCAGCAGCUGCUUAGUUGGAGUGGCUGACAAGGAGAGAAUGAUUUCCAGGAAGAGCGGAACACAUAUGGAAGGCCUUAGCUUAUCUUUAGCGCCUCAUACACCCGUUCUGGACUUCAGAAAGGCCAGUGAGUGGGAUUAGGCCUCAGAGAUAGGAUGUCAGUCCCAGUGAGGGAUGGCCUAGAGCAUUCUUUAAUUCUUUCCUUUGGGUCACACAUAAGAAACAAUUUU
rnacentral:lncRNA from 10 species